rnacentral:rRNA from 1 species
CCUACGGGUGGCAGCAGUGAGGAAUAUUGGUCAAUGGACGAAAGUCUGAACCAGCCAUGCCGCGUGAAGGAUGACUGCUCUAUGAGUUGUAAACUGCUUUUGUAAGGGAGUAAAUCCCGAUACGUGUAUCUGGUUGCACGUAUAGUAUGAAUAAGGAUCGGCUAACUCCGGGCCAGCAGCCGCGGUAAUACGGAGGAUCCAAGCGUUAUCCGGAUUUAUUGGGUUUAAAGGGAGCGUAGACGGGUCGGUAAGUCAGUGGUGAAAGUCCGGGGCUCAACUGCGGAACUGCAUUUGAUACUGGCAGGCUAGAGUAUAGUUGAGGUAGGCGGAAUUCAUGGUGUAGCGGUGAAAUGCAUAGAGAUCAGGCAGAACACCGAUUGUGAAGGCAGCUUACUAAACUACGACUGACGUUGAUGCUCGAAAGUGUGGGGAGCAAACAGGAUUAGAUACCCGGGUAGUC